rnacentral:lncRNA from 1 species
UAAUGCCAUUUCCAGCUACUCACUCAUAUGCCAAUAGCUGUUUCAUCCUGUUUUUCCUACUUAGAAUUUGUUGGUCAUGAUGUGCAUCCAUAGACCUUCCUGUCUAUGGAUAACUUAUACCAUCUGUGGUAAUGCCUCUUCCCUCUGUCUGCCAGCUGAUAUCUGAACCAAUUGGUGACCUUUCGUGUGCCUUUACAUGAUGACUUCAGAAAAACAGCUGCAAGUUGUUCCAAUUGCAGUCUUUACCUGGAGCUCCCUUGUCAGUGAGGCUGCCGAAGACACUGACAAACUGAAACUCUAUGAAUAAAUUCCAGCAAAGCCUUAUAGUGUGAAUGCCUCUGGAGGGGAAGUUGUUUGCAAGAAAGAACUAUUCUCAGCCAAAUUUGGAGAUGUGAAUGUAGUAACGAGGUUGGAAAGGAAUCUGAGCUCUCAUCAGAAUGUCAGGACCUGAAGGAACAUUUCUUUAAGAAAUUGAUGGAAUGUAGACUAGAAUAAAAUGAUUGGAUAAAAUGUGACA